AGUGGUUGUUGGGUGAUGCACCCCGGAAUUGGGCUCCCUUCUCUCUGGUUCUGGGUGUGUAACCUGAGAACUGCA
rfam:Myotis brandtii contig149026, whole genome shotgun sequence.